rnacentral:rRNA from 1 species
GUGAGGAAUUUUCCGCAAUGGGCGAAAGCCUGACGGAGCAAUGCCGCGUGAAGGAUGAAGGCCUAUGGGUUGUAAACUUCUUUUCUCAGAAAAGAAUUAUGACGGUAUCUGAGGAAUAAGCAUCGGCUAACUCUGUGCCAGCAGCCGCGGUAAGACAGAGGAUGCAAGCGUUAUCCGGAAUGAUUGGGCGUAAAGCGUCUGUAGGUUGUUUAAAAAGUAUUCUGUCAAAGAUUAGGGCUUAACCCUAGAUAGGCAGAAUAAACUUUUAAGCUAGAGUUUGGUAGAGGCAGAGGGAAUUCCCGGUGGAGCGGUGAAAUGCGUAGAUAUCGGGAGGAACACCAAAGGCGAAGGCACUCUGCUGGGCCAAUACUAACACUGAGAGACGAAAGCGAGGGGAGCAAAUGGGAUUAGAUAACCCGGGUAGUCC